rnacentral:lncRNA from 1 species
GGAUCAGCUGGCUUACCUGGAGAAGCUGGGCCAUCUGGAAACCUUGGUGAAAAGGGAGAGCGAGGCAGUCCAGGCCCUGUAGGUGCUCCUGGAGAAAAAGGUGUCAUGGGCUAUCCAGGACCUCCAGGAGGCCCUGGACCUGUGGGGCCAGAAGGAUUACCUGGACCUUCAGGGGCACGAGGACCAUCAGGGCCACAGGGACCUAAGGGAAGAAGAGGAGAAAGAGGUGAUCCAGGAAAGAAAGGAGUUCCUGGACUCAUUGGUAAAGCUGGAAAUCCAGGAGAAAGAGGAGAACAGGGUGGACUUGUGAGUAUGAAAUUCACUACUACUUCUACCAAAAAAAAUCCAGAAAAUCCCAUACUUUGUUUGACACUUGGGUAUAAGG